GUACUGCUGAAGAGUCCCGGACUAGGACGAAACAGCUGACUGUCCAGUAC
rfam:Trichobilharzia regenti genome assembly, scaffold: TRE_scaffold0003053